UGGUCGUACGUACGUAGGAGGAGCUUGGGUGGUGUUGGAGUUUCACCGACGUCGCGCCGCGGUGCCGUUCGAGUGUACAUUCGUCGUCGUAGCAUCGCGAGGAGGCCGGGCGAGGGUGCGAUUCCGCCGUUCUCGACGUCGCGCCGAAUUGGGAUUAGCUAUCGAGGUAGGUUAAUCGUCGGUCUGUCUUCUAAAUGUAUAGUUUGUCGACAUGUGUUGUUGUGUUGAUAGAUUUUGCUCA
rnacentral:lncRNA from 1 species